GAUGAACGCUGGCGGCGUGCCUAAUACAUGCAAGUCGAGCGAACGGACGAGAAGCUUGCUUCUCUGAUGUUAGCGGCGGACGGGUGAGUAACACGUGGAUAACCUACCUAUAAGACUGGGAUAACUUCGGGAAACCGGAGCUAAUACCGGAUAAUAUUUUGAACCGCAUGGUUCAAAAGUGAAAGACGGUCUUGCUGUCACUUAUAGAUGGAUCCGCGCUGCAUUAGCUAGUUGGUAAGGUAACGGCUUACCAAGGCAACGAUGCAUAGCCGACCUGAGAGGGUGAUCGGCCACACUGGAACUGAGACACGGUCCAGACUCCUACGGGAGGCAGCAGUAGGGAACCUUCCGCAAUGGGCGAAAGCCUGACGGAGCAACGCCGCGUGAGUGAUGAAGGUCUUCGGAUCGUAAAACUCUGCUAUUAGGGAAGAACAUAUGUGUAAGUAACUGUGCACAUCUUGACGGUACCUAAUCAGAAAGCCACGGCUAACUACGUG
rnacentral:rRNA from 1 species